rnacentral:rRNA from 1 species
UUGGAGGGCAAGUCUGGUGCCAGCAGCCGCGGUAAUUCCAGCUCCAAUAGCGUAUAUUAAAGUUGUUGCAGUUAAAAAGCUCGUAGGUUGAAUUUCGGGGUUAGUAGGUUGGUCAUGCCUCUGGUAUGUACUGGUCUCACUGAUUCCUCCUUCCUUAUGAACCGUAAUGCCAUUAAUUUGGUGUUGCGGGGAAUUUGGACUGUUACUUUGAAAAAAUUAGAGUGUUUAAAGCAAGCUAACGCUUGAAUACAUUAGCAUGGAAUAAUGAAAUAGGACG